rnacentral:rRNA from 1 species
UACGUAGGGGUCUAGCGUUGUCCGGAAUCAUUGGGCGUAAAGAGCUCGUAGGCGGUUCGGCAAGUCGGAUGUGAAAUCUCCACGCUCAACGUGGAGGGGCCAUUCGAAACUGCCGUGACUCGAGUCCGGUAGGGGAGUGCGGAAUUCCCGGUGUAGCGGUGAAAUGCGCAGAUAUCAGGAAGAACACCCGUGGCGAAGGCGGUUCUCUGGGACGGUACUGACGCUGAGACGCGAAAGCGUGGGGAGCGAACAGG